AGUGAACGCUGGCGGUAGGCCUAACACAUGCAAGUCGAACGGCAGCACAGUAAGAGCUUGCUCUUACGGGUGGCGAGUGGCGGACGGGUGAGGAAUACAUCGGAAUCUACUUUUUCGUGGGGGAUAACGGAGGGAAACUUACGCUAAUACCGCAUACGACCUACGGGUGAAAGCAGGGGAUCUUCGGAGCUUUCGCGAUUGAAUGAGCCGAUGUCGGAUUAGCUAGUUGGCGGGGUAAAGGCCCACCAAGGCGACGAUCCGUAGCUGGUCUGAGAGGAUGAUCAGCCACACUGGAACUGAGACACGGUCCAGACUCCUACGGGAGGCAGCAGUGGGGAAUAUUGGACAAUGGGCGCAAGCCUGAUCCAGCCAUGCCGCGUGAGUGAAGAAGGCCUUCGGGUUGUAAAGCCCUGUUAUUAGGAAAGAAAAGCAGCAGGUUAAUACCCCGCUGUUCUGACGGUACCCAAAGAAUAAGCACCGGCUAACUUCGUG
rnacentral:rRNA from 1 species